CGCUUCUCCACCACCCCCUCCUUUUCUCUCUCUCUCUCUCUCUCUUUUUUUUUUUUUUUUUUUAAGGAGACAAUCUUAAAGUAACAAUUUAAUGAAAUUCUGUACACACCCCCUUACGGUCCUCCCAGCUCUCAUUCCUGCUCAAAACACACAUUCCUGUUUUUGUUUUGUUUUGCUUGCUUUUUUUCCCUCCCUCACUCCCCCCACUUAUUAUUAUUAUUUCUGAUGGCAGGAGAAAAAUCUGUCUCUUCUCUUAGGAUCCCCUUUGCACUUUGCUGGUAAACCUCAUCCUUUUCUGUAGCACAUAAAGAGUCUUGAAACUUGAUUCUUAGAUUUUUUUUUUUAAUUCUCUCUCUCUGUCUCUCCCUCCCUCCCUCUCCCUCUCUUUCUCUUUUUCUCACUCUCUCCCUUACUCUUCUUCCCGCUUCCUCUCCCUUUACCUCUUUCCCUCUUCUUUUCCCUGUCCUUUUCCCUCUCAGAAUUUCCUUAAAGUUGUACGAUGAUGAACCAUUCCCCUCUUUUCUGAGCCCCCAGAUAAGGCUGGCUUCAGCUAACCCAAAUGUUUCCAAAGUUCUUAUGGAAUCAUCAGAAGAAAAUAGAAGAAAGGCACUGUCCAGGACAUCUGCCUUUCAGAAGCUGUAGUCCUAGUACAACUGGGUCUCUGAAUUUCCCCGAAUACUCUUUAAAAUACUCUGUUGGUCAUUAGAAAUUAUUUUAAUUUUAUAAGAAGAAAAUGAGAGAAAAAUAUUAAUUUGCCUAAUGUUUUCAACUUAAGCAAUUCAGGUCCUCUGAAAUUGUUAAAGUCACAGGUAAGGAUCUGACCAUUUGCUGCUUUGUAGGUCUGUUUUUGAACUGGGACAUACAUGUAAUAUAUUUUUUUCUUCUUUUUUCCCCCUCUUUAUAGAACUCAAAAGCUCCCCCUUAUGGCAAAACAGAUCUUCUUUUAUUUUGUCCAAGUGUUUAAUAAGUCAAAACAUGUUAGCAAUGGUGGAUUACAAGCUAUUAAUUACCAAUCUAUUCCAAUAAGAUCUUUCUUGAGAGCUAGGAACAUUGCUACACGCUUCAGGAAGAGAGAAAACCAAGGAAGAAUGUUUGUUGGCAAAAGUAUGACGAUUUGUCGGAUGAGCAAAUGACUCAGACAUCCCCUCUAUGAAAGCUGGAAUGCGAUAUAUGCAAAGAUUAUGGAAGCUUUCUGAAAAUGGGAGAUCUCAGAUUCAUACCUUCCUAGUUUAGAAAGAAGUUGCUGAAUAGUCUUAGACUAAGAACGUUUGAACUCUGUUUCUGUAGUCAUAAAAUGAAAAUAGCACAAUACCCUAAAUGUGUUUCCAGAGACUGGCUGGAGGAAAGAAAAUCUUGGGUGCACAAUGUCAUGAAUAAAGAAUUUGCCUAAGCAAAUCUUUGACUUUUUGCAACUCCAAGUCAUCUGUAAAAGGUUGCCAUUGGAUAAAAAGAGAGCUAUGUUGAACAACAUAAAUUGUAUCAUUCAAAAUCCCCCUUCCUCUCCAAUAGAGGUUGGACCAUGACUACUGAUUUACUUCAGUUGUGGCAAUUAGGCAUUUAGAAACUGCAUGUCUUCCAGGGGGAUUUUAAGUCAUUGUAUACAAUAAUUUUGAAUAUUCCUAGACAACUGGGAAUUAUUCAAUUCUCAGACCAGCAGUGGGAGCACAAGAUUUUUACUUCUCAUUUCCUACUCCCUCCAACACAUAUCAGUUCACUGGCCUUGAGUAAGACACUUCAUUUCUCUUCCCUUCCACUUCCUUACCUUUAAAAUGGGAAUAUCUACUUGGCAAAUUUAUUUUGAGGACAAGAUAUGCUCUGGGGUAUAAUCUUUUGUAAACAAUAAAAAUGAUAUACGAAUACCAUUUGUUCUAUUGUUGUUGUCAAAGACAAAGUGCUCCUCAGGUUCUUAAAGACAAACAAGAAUUGAGGAGGCCAAGUUAUUUCUCUCCUGUAGGAGGCAGGAAAACGAAGGGACAACGAAGUUCAUGUCUUAUGGGUCCUUGAACUCCUUGAUCUCCGUCCUCAAAUGCACUGGGAUCAUUUGGCAAGACAUUUCACUCAUCCAUUCAUUGAACAUACAUUUACUAUUUGUUUCCAUCUGUCUUGGAAGCCAUUCUAACUCUUUAUGCAUAUAUGUAUGUAUGUAUUUGCUUGUUUUUAAUUGAG
rnacentral:lncRNA from 10 species